rnacentral:rRNA from 1 species
GACGGAGGGGGCUAGCGUUGUUCGGAAUUACUGGGCGUAAAGGGCGCGUAGGCGGAUUAGUAAGUUGGAAGUGAAAGCCCGAGGCUUAACCUCGGAACUGCUUUCAAAACUGCUAGUCUUGAGUGAAGUAGGGGGUGAUGGAAUUCCUAGUGUAGAGGUGAAAUUCUUAGAUAUUAGGAGGAACACCGGUGGCGAAGGCGGUCAUCUGGACUUCAACUGACGCUGAGGCGCGAAAGCGUGGGGAGCAAACAGG